GAUGAACGCUAGCGGCAGGCUUAAUACAUGCAAGUCGAGGGGCAUCAAGGUACACGAAAGUGUAUUGUUGGCGACCGGCGGACGGGUGAGUAAUAGGUAGGUAACCUACCUCAUACUGAGGCAUAGCUGGGAGAAAUUCCAGGUAAUUCCUCAUGAGGUUAUAUGACACAUGUGAUAUAAUCAAAGGUAUCGCAAGGUACUGGUAUGAGAUGGGCUUACUGACCAUUAGCUAGUUGGUGAGAUAAGAGCUCACCAAGGCGAAGAUGGUUAGGGGUUUUGAGAGAGAGAUCCCCCACAUUGGAACUGAGAUACGGUCCAGACUCCUACGGGAGGCAGCAGUAGGGAAUAUUGGGCAAUGGGCGGAAGCCUAGACCCAGCCAUGCCGCGUGAAGGAAGACGGCCUUAUGGUUGUAAACUUCUUUACUAUGCGACUAACUAGAUUUACGAGAUAAUUCUAUAGAAUGUAGCAUAGACAAAAGCACCGGA
rnacentral:rRNA from 1 species